GAAAGUAAGCAAGGGCGCAUGGCGGAUGCCUUGGCUCUCGGAGGCGAUGAAGGACGUGAUAAGCUGCGAUAAGCUUCGGGCAGGUGCAAAUAACCUUUGAUCCGAAGAUUUCCGAAUGGGACAACCCGUCAUUCUGAAGGAAUGACAUCUUGCAUAGCAAGAGGCUAACGCAGGGAACUGAAACAUCUUAGUACCUGUAGGAAAAGAAAAUAAUAAUGAUUCCCCUAGUAGUGGCGAGCGAACGGGGAUUAGCCCAAACCAAUGUUGUUACGGCAAUAUUGGGGUUGUAGGACCACGCUCUCGCAAGAAGUUUAGUGAGAAGAACCCUUUGGAAAAUGGGACCAUAGACGGUGAUAGUCCGGUAUUCGAAGCUAAAUGAAGCGUAGUGGUAUCCUGAGUAGCGCGGGACACGAGGAAUCUUGCGUGAAUCUGCCGGGACCAUCCGGUAAGGCUAAAUACUCCCGAGAGACCGAUAGCGAACCAGUACUGUGAAGGAAAGGUGAAAAGCACUUCGAAUAGAAGAGUGAAAUAGUCCCUGAAACCGUGCGCCUACAAGCGGUCGGAGCUGCUUCAGCAGUGACGGCGUGCCUUUUGCAUAAUGAACCUACGAGUUACUUUUUCCGGCAAGGUUAAGGAUCUUGAGAUCCGCAGCCGAAGCGAAAGCGAGUCUUAACAGGGCGAUUAGUCGGAAGGAGUAGACGCGAAACCAAGUGAUCUACCCUUGGUCAGGUUGAAGGUUAGGUAACACUAACUGGAGGACCGAACCGAUAAGCGUUGAAAAGCUUCCGGAUGAACUGAGGGUGGGGGUGAAAGGCUAAUCAAACUUGGAGAUAGCUCGUACUCCCCGAAAUGCAUUUAGGUGCAGCCUUGGGAAUUACUACUGUGAGGUAGAGCGACUGAUAAGAUGCGAGGGCUUCACCGCCUAUCAAGUCUUGAUAAACUCCGAAUGCGCAGUAGUUCGAUCCCAGGAGUGAGGGCAUGGGUGCUAAGGUCCAUGUCCUAAAGGAGAAGAAUCCAGACCAUCAGCUAAGGUCCCGAAAUAAUUGCUAAGUUGAACUAACGAAGUCAGAUUGCUAAGACAGCUAGGAUGUUGGCUUGGAAGCAGCCAUUCAUUUAAAGAGUGCGUAACAGCUCACUAGUCGAGGAGUUUGGCGUGGAUAAUAAUCGGGCAUUAAGCAAUUUACCGAAGCUAUGGGAUGUUAACUAAACACUAACAUCGGUAGGGGAGCAUUCCACUCUGCGUCGAAGGUGAAGCGUGAGCUUUGCUGGAGCGUGUGGAAAAGCAAAUGUAGGUAUAAGUAACGAUAAAGGGGGUGAGAAACCCCCUCGCCGAAAGACUAAGGUUUCCUGAUCAACGCUAAUCGGAUCAGGGUUAGUCGGGUCCUAAGGCUCAGCCGAACGGUGAGGCCGAUGGCAGAACAGGUUAAUAUUCCUGUACUACCUUAAGGAGUGACGUGGAGACGGAGCAGUGAUAGCGCCGCGGACUGACGGAAUAGUCCGUUGAAGGGUGUAGAUGUUGAUCUUUGCAGGCAAAUCCACAAAGAGAGUCGAACCUGAUAGUAUGGAACGUUCUUCGGAACAAUCCAAUAGUGCGUGUAAGCAUACUCCCAAGAAAAUCCGCUAAACUUAAUCUUUAAGGUACCCGUACCGCAAACGGACACACGUAGUCGGGUUGAAUAUACUAAGGCGCUUGAGUGAUUCACGGUUAAGGAACUAGGCAAAUUGACCCUGUAACUUCGGGAUAAAGGGUCCCAACGAGAGUUGGGCGCAGAGAAUAGGUCCAGGCAACUGUUUAACAAAAACACAGGGCUGUGCCAAAUUGAAAGAUUACGUAUACAGCCUGACACCUGCCCGGUGCUGGAAGGUUAAGAGGAGAUGUCAUCGCAAGAGAAGCAUUGAAUUGAAGCCCCAGUAAACGGCGGCCGUAACUAUAACGGUCCUAAGGUAGCGAAAUUCCUUGUCGGGUAAGUUCCG
rnacentral:rRNA from 1 species